CGUUAGAGUAAACGUAACAUUGAUAUUUUUUGGGCUUAGUUUCGUAUUUAUUAAAAAAAAUUGAGUUUUGAUCUUUAUUUUUCCGAUUUCACUUGUCAAGACAAACCUAUAAUAUACUGUAUAUAAAAAAAAUUGGCGCAUAACUAAGAGUUUUGAAAGAAAAAUGAAUAAGACAAAAAUAAGCAAGUGGCUUAUUUAUACCAAAUGAAGCCUUAUAUUGGUACGCUAUCAUUUUAAAUGAUUCUGACUUGGCGCCUUGAAAUUGCAGAGUACACCUAGAUGAUAAACCUGCUGCCAAAUGUGCCUAGAGUACGAGCAGAGAAAGAAGAUGUGAAGUAUAUAUUUUGUUUCUUGAUGGCAGAAGGAGCAAAGAGCUAAUGAAGAUGGAAUAACUCCCCAUUUCCUAAGCUUAUCUUUAGUUCUCAGCUUCUUUUCUGUUGCCAUCAGUAAGAUAAAGCUGUGCCCAAACUCUAUCGUUGCUUAUAUUUUUGGCUGAAAUCAGGAAUGCUUGAAAACGUGUCUAUUAGUUAGCAUGUAGAUAGUUUAAAUUUAGUUGGCUAGAUAUAUAUUUUUAUGAUUACUCAUGAACUCACGACUUUCAUGGUAGGACUCCCAUAUUCGAAUCAUGUUGAGUUGGAAGAGGGGCUGGUUUGGCCAGGAAAGCAUAAGAAGUCUGGUGUAAAUAAGUUUCCUCAAACAACUCAUCCCAACAGUUGUGUUUGAGAUAUGAUUCUUUCAGUGGAUUCGAUGAUUAAGCCUUGGUUUUUGUUGCCCCAUUUCAGUAUGGUCUUUGUAAGCCUCUCACAGGCCUUGUCCUAUGCUCCUAUUUUACUUGGGUUGCUGUCCCUUCUACUCGCCAACUUAUAGAAAACUUUUAGGCAGUUGCUGCCCCAGAUUCUGAUGCGGAGUUUCCCUUGGCAGUUGCUGCCCCAGAUUCUGAUGUGGAGUUUCCCUUGACAGCAGAAAAUGUGGAGGUUGUGUUGGAUGAAAUUCGACCAUAUCUCAAUUGCUGAUGGUUUUAAUGUCUACACGAAAUCGAUGGCGAUUUUAUGAGGUUGAAGCUGCAAGGAGCAUGAGACUCCUGUCCAAGUUGGGUAACGAGAAUGAAGAUGGGAAUCGAGCAUUGUUUAAUGGAAAUUUUUCCUGAAGUAGUUGCAGUGGAACUUAAAGCAGACAAGGUGACUGGCCUUGAGCUGAAUGAAGAAUACAUAGAGAAGGUAAUAAUGCAUCUCCUUUUGUUACACUGUUAAAGCUUUUAAAGCACUAAGUGUGGUUUUAACAUGUUUUUGAACCAGUUUAUCAUUUUCGAAUUACCAUUUUAGAAAUCAUGCUUUCUGUCCAGAUUCAUAGGGGUAUCAGGAUGCGGAUCUGUAUUGCUCAUAUGACCAUGUAUUGGUCUUGGUCGAUAUAAAAGUAAGACAGUAAAUAGUA